AAUAGAUACCCCGGUAGUCCACGCCCUAAACGAUGUCUACUAGUUGUUGGGUCUUAAUUGACUUAGUAACGCAGCUAACGCGUGAAGUAGACCGCCUGGGGAGUACGGUCGCAAGAUUAAAACUCAAAGGAAUUGACGGGGACCCGCACAAGCGGUGGAUGAUGUGGAUUAAUUCGAUGCAACGCGAAAAACCUUACCUACCCUUGACAUGUCAGGAAUCCUUGAGAGAUUGAGGAGUGCCCGAAAGGGAACCUGAACACAGGUGCUGCAUGGCUGUCGUCAGCUCGUGUCGUGAGAUGUUGGGUUAAGUCCCGCAACGAGCGCAACCCUUGUCAUUAGUUGCUACGCAAGAGCACUCUAAUGAGACUGCCGGUGACAAACCGGAGGAAGGUGGGGAUGACGUCAAGUCCUCAUGGCCCUUAUGGGUAGGGCUUCACACGUCAUACAAUGGUACAUACAGAGGGCCGCAACCCGCGAGGGGGAGCUAAUCCCAGAAAGUGUAUCGUAGUCCGGAUUGUAGUCUGCAACUCGACUA
rnacentral:rRNA from 1 species